rnacentral:misc_RNA from 1 species
GACCGACAGGAGCGCCAGGAGUGUCCCAAAGGAGGCGGACCUGCUUGCCGGGGAAAGAAAGAGGCUCAGAGCGGUUGUGAGCGAUACCAGGGCCGCAGCCAACACCGGUGACGUUCAAGUUGACGCAAGACUCAUCAGUAGGAAUGUCGGAGACGGCAGGGCUGGAGGUGCGGUUGUCGGUGCGCUCCCAGUCGGCAGUGUUGUUGGGGUGGAUGCGGUUGAUGUUGGCCUGGUUGGCGACGUGCAGCGCCGGGAAGUUCUGCCAUGCGAGACGGGUAGUGUUCUCGGGGCAAGAGCUGAUGUAUGGAGCGAGGAAAGUCCAGGCCCAAGACUGGGGGAUACCAGCCUCAAACCAGACGGGCAUAGGGUGAAGACCGCUCAUCUGGCGGAAGAUCAUCUCCUGGCGAGCCUCGGUGGCAAUGGACUGCGCAAGGAGUUGACCGACCUCACGAGAGUCGAGGUGGUUGAUGAAACCCCAGACACCAGACUCGCCCCAGCGGGUAAGGACAGCAUUGAAGUCAACGAACUCACGGACAGUGGUGAACGGGUAGUUGUAAGUGCACUGCGGUGGGGCAGUUUCUCCGAGCAUGUUGGACAGAAGGGUGGCGUGACCUUGCUCCUGCUGAGCCAUGAAUUGGAUCAAAG